CAGUCGCCGCGGUAAUACGGAGGGUGCAAGCGUUAAUCGGAAUUACUGGGCGUAAAGCGCACGCAGGCGGUCUGACAAGUCAGAUGUGAAAUCCCCGGGCUUAACCUGGGAACUGCAUUUGAAACUGUCAGGCUGGAGUCUUGUAGAGGGGGGUAGAAUUCCAGGUGUAGCGGUGAAAUGCGUAGAGAUCUGGAGGAAUACCGGUGGCGAAGGCGGCCCCCUGGACAAAGACUGACGCUCAGGUGCGAAAGCGUGGGGAGCAAACAGGAUUAGAUACCCGCGUAGUCCCUGUCUCUUAUCA
rnacentral:rRNA from 1 species